rnacentral:rRNA from 1 species
CCCCCGCAGCUCGAUUGGUGGUCACUUUUAUUGAGCCUAAAGCGUUCGUAGCCGGUUUUGUAAAUCCUCAGACAAAUUCUCCUGCUUAACGGGAGAUACUCUGGAGAGACUGCGAAACUAGGGACCGGGUGAGGUUGAAGGUACUUCUGGGGUAGGGGUAAAAUCCUGUAAUCCUGGAAGGACGACCAGUGGCGAAGGCGUUCAACUAGAACGGAUCCGACGGUGAGGAACGAGGGCUAGGGGAGAAAACCGG